CCUACGGGAGGCAGCAGUGGGGAAUAUUGCACAAUGGGGGAAACCCUGAUGCAGCGACGCCGCGUGAGUGAAGAAGUAACUCGUUAUGUAAAGCUCUAUCAGCCGGGAAGAAAAUGACGGUACCUGAGUAAGAAGCCCCGGCUAACUACGUGCCAGCAGCCGCGGUAAUACGUAGGGGGCCAGCGUUAUCCGGAUUUACUGGGUGUAAAGGGAGCGUAGACGGCAGUGCAAGUCUGGAGUGAAAGGCGGGGGCUCAACCCCCGGACUGCUGUGGAAACUGUACGGCUGGAGUGCAGGAGAGGUAAGUGGAAUUCCUGGUGUAGCGGUGAAAUGCAUAGAUAUUAGGAGGAACUCCAGUGGCGAAGGCAGCUUACUGGACUGUAACUGACGUUGAGGCUCGAAAGCGUGGGUAGCAAACAGGAUUAGAUACCCCGGUAGUC
rnacentral:rRNA from 1 species